rnacentral:rRNA from 1 species
UUGAAAGGGAAACGAUUGAAGUCAGUCGUACAGACGGGAAAUCAACCUCUCGAGGGUGGGUUCGUUUUCGCGUACCUGCGUUCUUGGGGUGUACUUUCUCGUAUUGUAGGUUAGCGUCGGUCUUGGUCGUUACAAAAUGAUUGGAGGAAUGUAGCUUCGGCCUCGGUUGAAGUGUUAUAGCCUCUGGUAGAUGUAACGAACGGGACCGAGGAUUGCAACGGAUACCCUCACGGGCUAUCCGCCUGACCUCUGAUGCGACACCCCGGUGUUGAAAGCUUGCUUAUGAUAUCGGAGCGUUCGUUCAAAAGGUUAGAGCGGAUUAAAUUCGUUAAGGACGCUGACGUAAUGGCUUUAAACGACCCGUCUUGAAACACGGACCA